rnacentral:tRNA from 1 species
GGAGGAUUAGCUCAGCUGGGAGAGCAUCUGCCUUACAAGCAGGAGGUCACAGGUU